rnacentral:rRNA from 1 species
AACGAACGCUGGCGGCAUGCCUAACACAUGCAAGUCGAACGAGAUCUUCGGGUCUAGUGGCGCACGGGUGCGUAACGCGUGGGAAUCUGCCCGUUGGUUCGGAAUAACAGUUGGAAACGACUGCUAAUACCGGAUGAUGACGAAAGUCCAAAGAUUUAUCGCCAGAGGAUGGGCCGGCGUGGGAUUAGCUAGUUGGUGUGGUAAAGGCGCACCAAGGCGACGAUCCUUAGCUGGGCUGAGAGGAUGAUCAGCCGCACUGGGACUGAGACACGGCCCAGAAUCCUACGGGAGGCAGCAGUGGGGAAGAUUGGACAAUGGGCGAGAGCCUGAUACAGAAAUGCCGCGUGAGUGAUAAAGGCCUUAGGGUUGUAAAGCUCUUUUACCCGGGAUGAUAAUGACAGUACCGGGAGAAUAAGCUCCGGCUAACUCCGUGCCAGCCGCCGCCGUAA